GAUGAACGCUAGCGGCAGGCUUAAUACGUGCAAGUCGUGGGGCAGCAGGUCCGUAGCAAUACAGAUGCUGGCGACCGGCAAACGGGUGCGGAACACGUACACAACUUUCCUUUAAGUGGGGAAUAGCCCAGAGAAAUUUGGAUUAAUACCCCGUAACAUAGUGAAAAGGCAUCUUUUUAUUAUUAUAGCAACAAUGCGCUUAAUGAUGGGUGUGCGUCGGAUUAGGUAGUUGGCGGAGUAAUAGCCCACCAAGCCUACGAUCAGUAACUGGUGUGAGAGCACGACCAGUCACACGGGCACUGAGACACGGGCCCGACUCCUACGGGAGGCAGCAGUAAGGAAUAUUGGGCAAUGGACGCAAGUCUGACCCAGCCAUGCCGCGUGGAGGAUGAAGGUCCUCUGGAUUGUAAACUUCUUUUAUCUGGGAAGAAAUCCAUCUUUUCUUGGGUGGUUGACGGUACCAGAUGAAUAAGCACCGGCUAACUCCGUGCCAGCCGCCGCGGUAA
rnacentral:rRNA from 1 species